GGUUGCGAUCAUACCAACACUAAUGCACCGGAUCCCAUCAGAACUCCACAGUUAAGCAUGCUUGGGCGAGAGUAGUACUAGGAUGGGUGACCCCCUGGGAAGUCCUCGUGUUGCAACCCC
rnacentral:rRNA from 1 species